AUCGGGUGUGUCUAUGUGCAGUGUUGUGUUGCCAUCCAAUUGGAAAUCUCAUAAAUAAUAUGCAAAAAUUGUAAUUGACAGUGUCCACAAAAUCAACAGCGUGCACAAUAAAAACAAGCAGCAGCAGUGGUUACAUCACAACCGAAAAGCACAGAAGGAGCAGCGGCAGGAGGCGGGGGAGCUGCAUGAAAUUGCAGUUGCGGCCUUCAACGCAAAAAGUAAAGAAAAGAAGUGCACAACAGACAGCGAAGACACAACAGUGGCAACGCCAACAGCUGCGACAUGUUAAGCCCAUUUACAACAAAAAUAAAAGAAAAGAAACGAAAUGAAAUGGAGAAAAAAACCAAAACUUGAAAUUAGUUUCUUUGGCGCGAAGAUGUCGUGGACGCAGGCGCUGCAGGCGCCGUAAACACCUUUCGCCGUUGCUGGAGUCCCUGCCGGUUGCAUAAUUAAUGGCAUCUUCUCAUUGAUCUCGACGUUUAUUUAGGUUAUGCAUGGCCAACGUUUGGCAUAUGAAGUGGAACAAGUUUUUUAAUGACCGCCUGCAUGCGCUGAAGGACUUGUAUAAACACAAAUGGUCAAUAAAUAAAAACAUUUAUAUACAUUACA